UACGAGUGCCCCAAGCGUUAUCCGGAAUUAUUGGGCGUAAAGGUUGUGUAGGUGGUUUUGUUAGUCUCCUGUUAAAUUCUUCGGCUCAACCGGGGGUCUGCAGGGGAAACGGCAAGACUAGAGGAUGCGAGAGGUGAAUGGAACUCAUGGUGUAGGGGUGAAAUCCGUUGAUAUCAUGGGGAACACCAAAUGCGAAGGCAAUUCACUGGCGCACUUCCUGACACUGAAACAAGAAAGCGUGGGUAGCGAAUGGG
rnacentral:rRNA from 1 species